rnacentral:tRNA from 1 species
GAGUAUUUAAAUUUAUAAAAGUUACUUUAUAUAAAAUAAAGAUUUAAAUUUUUAUUUA